AUGGUCUACCCUCCGCGCCUUGCACAGGACAACUUUCGUUAUCAUCCUGUCCAAACUAGAAUGCACUUUACUGUGCGACCUUGGCUAUCCAAUACUUUAACUUUAAAUAAAUGAAAGGGUAUCAAGCAAGCGAAUGCCUUGAAUACAAUACCAUGGAAUAAUAUAAUCGGACCUCAUCCCAACGCUGUUGGUUCAUUGCAUUGAAGUAAUGAUAAACAGGGAUAGCUGGGGGCAUUCAUAUUUAACUGUCAGAGGUGAAAUUCUUGGAUUUGUUAAAGACGAACUACUGCGAAAGCAUCUGCCAAGGAUGUUCUCAUUGAUCAAGAACGAAAGUUAGGGGAUCGAAGACGAUCAGAUACCGUCCUAGUCUUAACCAUAAACUAUGCCGACUAGAGAUUGGGGGUAGUACAUUAUUUUGACUCCUCCAGCAUCUUGGGAGAAAUCAGAGUCUUUGGGUUCCGGGGGGAGUAUGGUCGCAAGGCUGAAACUUAAAGGAAUUGACGGAAGGGCACCACCAGGAGUGGAGCCUGCGGCUUAAUUUGACUCAACACGGGGAAACUUACCAGGUCCAGACAUAGUAAGGAUUGACAGACUGAAAGCUCUUUCUUGAUUCUAUGGGUGGUGGUGCAUGGCCGUUCUUAGUUGGUGGAGUGAUUUGUCAGGUUAAUUCCGUUAACGAACGAGACCUUAGCCUGUUAAAUAGUGUCCAGGACCAUUGGUUCUAGGUGAUCACUUCUUAGAGGGACUUCAUGGCUUUAACAUGAGGAAGUGUGAGGCAAUAACAGGUCUGUGAUGCCCUUAGAUGUCCUGGGCUGCACGCGCGCUACACUGAUGCGUUCAACAAGUAUAGAACCUUUUCUUGGAAGGAAUAGGUAAUCUUGUUAAAUCGCAUCGUGAUGGGGAUAGUUUAUUGCAAUUUUUAAUCUUCAACGAGGAAUUCCUAGUAACCGUGAGUCAUCAACUUGCGAUGACUACGUCCCUGCCCUUUGUACACACCGCCC
rnacentral:rRNA from 1 species